UAAUAUAUUUAAGGUCAUAUUAGGGAACAUUUCAGCAGUGUUAAAUGAUUACUAGCUGUGAAGACUCACAAAUACCAAUUGUGAAAUGGUAAAAGGGCAGGAAUGUAUUUCUAUAGUGUCUCCAGGCUUGUUUGCUCCUUCAUGUAAAAUCAUGUCAUUUAAUAAACAGUAUAAAUGUAUUAUUAUAUACAGUAUGUUCCAGGCUAUUAACCGCAUCGUAUAUAAACCGCAUUACAGUGUUUUAUGCAAUUUUAUCAAAACAAACCAUACAUUGACCGCACCUGUGUAUUAACCACAGUUUAUUGAACGUUAUGCCAUGCCAUGUAGUUGUGGUGCGAGUGUUACUAGCCAUUUAGAAGUUGUAUAAAGUAGGGAUGGGCAUUUCAAGCAAAACUACUACACCUACAUACAGUACAUCAAUGUGUAAGCCGCUGGUUAAUAGUCUGGAAAUUAAAGUGAUACAAUUUUCUUUUUAAUUCUCUUGCCAAGCUUUGCUGUGUGUAUUUUCCCCAGUUCCCUACUCUUUUCCCUAUCUCAUGAAAGCUUUGAAGAUAUCAAUUAUUUGUGCAUCUCGUUUAUUUAUUUCAGUGCCAUGGGGAACAGUGCUGAUCUUGGUGGUGACUAGCCUGUGCAUUGCCCUGGCUGGUGUGUCUGCACUCUGUCUCAUCUGGACAUGUCAGAAUCACCCGGACAUUAUGCCUGCACAUAGUACAAUUGCAACUGUUGACACUGUUGUAACCUACACCAUGAUCACCUCAACAUCCUUGAC